UACGUAGGGACCUAGCGUUGUCCGGAAUCAUUGGGCGUAAAGCGCGCGUAGGCGGCCCGGUAAGUCCGGUGUGAAAGCUCCCGGCUCAACUGGGAGAGGUCAUUGGAUACUGGCGGACUUGAGGGAUGCAGAGGAAGGUGGAAUUCCCGGUGUAGUGGUGAAAUGCGUAGAGAUCGGGAGGAACACCAGUGGCGAAGGCGGCCUUCUGGGCAUUUCCUGACGCUGAGGCGCGAAAGCGUGGGGAGCGAACCGG
rnacentral:rRNA from 1 species